rnacentral:rRNA from 1 species
GAUGAACGCUGGCGGCGUGCCUAAUACAUGCAAGUCGAGCGAACAGACGAGGAGCUUGCUCCUCUGACGUUAGCGGCGGACGGGUGAGUAACACGUGGAUAACCUACCUAUAAGACUGGGAUAACUUCGGGAAACCGGAGCUAAUACCGGAUAAUAUAUUGAACCGCAUGGUUCAAUAGUGAAAGACGGUUUUGCUGUCACUUAUAGAUGGAUCCGCGCCGCAUUAGCUAGUUGGUAAGGUAACGGCUUACCAAGGCAACGAUGCGUAGCCGACCUGAGAGGGAGAUCAGCCACACUGGAACUGAGACACGGUCCAGACUCCUACGGGAGGAAGCAGUAGGGAAUCUUCCGCAAUGGGCGAAAGCCUGACGGAGCAACGCCGCGUGAGUGAUGAAGGUCUUCGGAUCGUAAAACUCUGUUAUUAGGGAAGAACAAAUGUCUAAGUAACUAUGCACGUCUUGACGGUACCUAAUCAGAAAGCCACGGCUAACUACGUG